GUUAUGGUGGCAGAGCCCGGAUAUGCAAAAGAUCUAAGAUCUUUCUAGUGGAGGUUCAAAUCCUCCUCAUAACU
rnacentral:tRNA from 1 species